UCUCCUAGGACUCUCUCACCCUUCGCUUACCCUGCUCCAAGCCUGCUGACCUCCUUGCAGUCCCUCCGGUGUACCAGAUACAAGGCAUCCAGUGGAGAAAUCCAAGCCUCCCAGGAAUGGUGAAUCUGCAAGGAUCAAGACUAAUCCAGAACAUCUCACAUUCAGACAUGCUAAAAAAAACCCCACAGUUUGAAAAGAGAGAGCAAGAGAGUGAGCAGGGGAGGCCGGCAAAGGGAGAGAGAGAAUCCCAAGCAGGAGUCCAACACAGGGCUCCAUCCCACGACCCUGGGAUCAUGACCUGAGCCAAAGUCAAAAGUAAGUAGGACGGACAUUCAACCAACUGAGCCACCCAGGCCCCAUCAUCGUAGCUUUCUAAUUAGGAUUUCUCUAGUGUUACACAUUCUACAAGACCAGUGCUCUAACCCCUGAGCUAUGGAGCCUUAUCCUUAGUGUUACACAUUCUAGUCAGCCAUCCUCCAGCCACUAGCUCUCUUUAAAGCA